rnacentral:rRNA from 1 species
ACUCCUACGGGGGGCAGCAGUGGGGAAUCUUAGACAAUGGGCGCAAGCCUGAUCUAGCGAUGCCGCGUGAGUGACGAAGGUCUUAGGAUCGUAAAGCUCUUUCUCCUGUGAUGAUAAUGACUGUAGCCGGAUAAGAAUCCCCGGCUAACUCCGUGCCAGCAGCCGCGGUAA